rnacentral:rRNA from 1 species
GAUGAACGCUGGCGGCGUGCCUAAUACAUGCAAGUCGAGCGAACAGACGAGGAGCUUGCUCCUCUGACGUUAGCGGCGGACGGGUGAGUAACACGUGGAUAACCUCCCUAUAAGACUGGGAUAACUUCGGGAAACCGGAGCUAAUACCGGAUAAUAUAUUGAACCGCAUGGUUCAAUAGUGAAAGACGGUUUUGCUUUCACUUAUAGAUGGAUCCGCGCCGCAUUAGCUAGUUGGUAAGGUAACGGCUUACCAAGGCAACGAUGCGUAGCCGACCUGAGAGGGGGAUCGGCCACACUGGAACUGAGACACGGUCCAGACUCCUACGGGAGGCAGCAGUAGGGAAUCGUACGCAAUGGGCGAAAGCCUGACGGAGCAACGACGCGUGAGUGAUGAAGGUCUUCGGAUCGUAAAAAUCUGUUAUUAGGGAAGAACAAAUGUGUAAGUAACUAUGCACGUCUUGACGGUACCUAAUCAGAAAGCCACGGCUAACUACGUG